rnacentral:tRNA from 3 species
GGCGAGGUAGCUCAGCUGGUUAGAGCACGGAGCUCAUACCUCCGGAGUCGGCGGUUCGAUCCCGCCCCUCGCUACCA